rnacentral:rRNA from 1 species
GUGCCAGCCGCCGCGGUAAUACAGAGGGUGCAAGCGUUAAUCGGAAUUACUGGGCGUAAAGCGCGCGUAGGCGGCUGUGUAAGUUGGAUGUGAAAUCCCCGGGCUCAACCUGGGCACUGCAUUCAAAACUGCACGGCUAGAGUAUGGGAGAGGAAGGUAGAAUUCCAGGUGUAGCGGUGAAAUGCGUAGAGAUCUGGAGGAAUACCGAUGGCGAAGGCAGCCUUCUGGCCUAAUACUGACGCUGAGGUGCGAAAGCAUGGGGAGCAAACAGGAUUAGAUACCCUGGUAGUCCAUGCCGUAAACGAUGUCGACUAGGUGUUGGGGAACUUGAUUCUUUAGUGGCGCAGCUAACGCGAUAAGUUGACCGCCUGGGGAGUACGGCCGCAAGGUUAAAACUCAAAUGAAUUGACGGGGGCCCGCACAAGCGGUGGAGCAUGUGGUUUAAUUCGAUGCAACGCGAAGAACCUUACCUGGCCUUGACAUGCACAUAGUAGAAGCCUGAAAGGGUGACGAGGUAGCAAUACCAGUGUGCACAGGUGCUGCAUGGCUGUCGUCAGCUCGUGUCGUGAGAUGUUGGGUUAAGUCCCGCAACGAGCGCAACCCCUGUGUCCUGUUGCCACCCCUUAACUGGGAGCACUCUGGACAGACUGCCUCGCUUCAACGAGGAGGAAGGUGGGGAUGACGUCAAGUCAGUAUGGCCCUUACGGCCAGGGCUGCACACGUACUACAAUGCCCGGCACAAAGGGAAGCAAGACCGCAAGGUGGAGCAAAUCCCAGAAAACCGGGCCCAGUUCAGAUUGUCGUCUGCAACUCGACGACAUGAAGCUGGAAUCGCUAGUAAUGGCGCAUCAGCUACGGCGCCGUGAAUACGUUCCCAGGCCUUGUACACACCGCCCGUCACAUCAUGAAAGCCGGUUGUACCCGAAGUCGCCCCUUAAAAGGUGCCGAAGGUAUGGCUGGUGAUUGGGAUGAAGUCGUAACAAGGGUAACC